UACGUAGGGUGCGAGCGUUGUCCGGAAUUAUUGGGCGUAAAGGGCUCGUAGGCGGUUUGUCGCGUCUGCUGUGAAAACUCGGGGCUUAACCCUGAGCUUGCAGUGGGUACGGGCAGACUAGAGUGCGGUAGGGGAGACUGGAAUUCCUGGUGUAGCGGUGAAAUGCGCAGAUAUCAGGAGGAACACCGGUGGCGAAGGCGGGUCUCUGGGCCGUAACUGACGCUGGAGGAGCGAAAGCAUGGGGAGCGAACAGG
rnacentral:rRNA from 1 species